CAGCUAAAUAGUUAUUGCUUUUAUCUUCCCCUCAUUCCUUUCUGCUGGGCUCAGAAGAAGGGAGAGGGAGGCAACGAAUGAUUAACACCACUUAUCUCAGCGCUCUGCCUCUGUCUUGGUUAACCGUCAGCUUCUUUUAGACUAGCUUCCAGGUAUUGGAGGUGACCUUAAAGACCCCAUAAUGCGAUGUGCACAGAGAACCUAUUAUCCAAAGGAUUGGGCUAUGGACUAAUAUCUUGAGAAUUCACAGAUUUUGGAAAGGCAGCUGUUACUGAAAGCAAAUUGCAUCUCUCAAGCUCUUAAUAAAAUUUUGUGCAAUCCCAUUUUAAUUGCUUUUUAAAUUUUCCUUAGGAAAAAUUCUAUUUACAUUCUUUCCAUGUGCAUUUGUGAAUAUCUUGAAUGGAACAAAAGGUGAAAAUUCAGAAUGAAAAUUUUUGCAAAUUGUGAUUAUAGAAUGUGAAGCUAGGAAGACUCUUAGACAACAUCUAAUUAUAACCUUCUUCCAUGGCUGAGAAAACAAAGGUUAAUUCUUGGAUCAUUUCUUUGAGUAUUUCCUAGAACAAAUUCGUG
rnacentral:lncRNA from 1 species